rnacentral:tRNA from 1 species
UCCCCAAUGGCUCAGCAGUAGAGGAUCUGCCUGCAAUGCAGGAGGCUUGGGUUCAAUCCCUAAAUCAGGAA